rnacentral:rRNA from 1 species
GGCAACCCUUAAUANAAUGGCGAACGGGUAAGUAAUGCAUCGAACGUGUCCUGUAGCGGGGGACAACCCCCGAGAAAUCGGGGCUAAUACCGCAUACGUCCUACGGGAGAAAGUGGGGACCGCAAGGCCUCACACUAUAGGGGCGGCCGAUGCCGGAUUAGCUAGUUGGUGAGGUAAGAGCUCACCAAGGCGACGAUCCGUAGCUGGUCUGAGAGGAUGAUCAGCCACACUGGGACUGAGACACGGCCCAGACUCCUACGGGAGGCAGCAGUGGGGAAUUUUGGACAAUGGGCGCAAGCCUGAUCCAGCCGUGCCGCGUGAGUGAAGAAGGCCUUCGGGUUGUAAAGCNCUUUCGGCCGGGACGAAAUCGCUUUCGCUAAUAUGGGAAGUGGAUGAAAGGUACCGGAUAAGNACCCCAAGAUA